GAUAACUUCGGGAAACCGGAGCUAAUACCGGAUAAUAUUUUGAACCGCAUGGUUCAAAAGUGAAAGACGGUCUUGCUGUCACUUAUAGAUGGAUCCGCGCUGCAUUAGCUAGUUGGUAAGGUAACGGCUUACCAAGGCAACGAUGCAUAGCCGACCUGAGAGGGUGAUCGGCCACACUGGAACUGAGACACGGUCCAG
rnacentral:rRNA from 1 species